rnacentral:misc_RNA from 1 species
UGGAUUACCCAAAAGAAAAAAAAAAGAGUUGUACAAGCUUAUCCACUGGUGAGCAUUGUGUGCACAAAAAAGAGAACAACAAAGAAGACCCCCCAAAAAAAAAAUCACAGUGAAUUCUACUCAACAAAGGUAUACUUAUAUACAAAAUCUAGCAACUAAAGAGUUUAAGAGUUCAGUUUGUUUUCAGUUGCCAUGAAUAGCUCUUCUGCUUCUAAGAGAAUUCAUUAAAAUACAAAAAUUUCCCAAUGACCAUGAUAAGUAAAAAAUUGUGGACACAGUACAAAUUGCACCAACAAUAAACAUUUUAAUCAACAUUUAAUUCUCAUUUUUGUUCAAUUUUCCUCAUAAUUGGGUGAAUGUUAAACAGUAUUAUAAUAUAAUUCAUAUAUACAGCAGGAAAGACUCUUCCUAUAGACUUAUCCAUUAAUAAAAACCUUAAUCGUACCUUUUUUGUGACAGUGUGCAUGCCUCUACGGGGUCCAUUCACACUCUAUUAAGCAAUUUUCUAACAACACUGAAUGGGAAAUAUGUGAAAGCUUGACUAAAUGGGAAGAUGCCUAACAAAACAAACCGGACCGGAAAAAAAUUCCAUACAAGCCUCACCUCCACCACUUCGUAAUGAAACCUGCUAUGCCACUCAGACAAUUGCUCUAAAA